rnacentral:rRNA from 1 species
UCCUACGGGAGGCAGCAGUGGGGAAUUUUGGACAAUGGGCGAAAGCCUGAUCCAGCAAUGCCGCGUGUGUGAAGAAGGCCUUCGGGUUGUAAAGCACUUUUGUCCGGAAAGAAAUCCUUGGCUCUAAUACAGUCGGGGGAUGACGGUACCGGAAGAAUAAGCACCGGCUAACUACGUGCCAGCAGCCGCGGUAAUACGUAGGGUGCGAGCGUUAAUCGGAAUUACUGGGCGUAAAGCGUGCGCAGGCGGUUUGCUAAGACCGAUGUGAAAUCCCCGGGCUCAACCUGGGAACUGCAUUGGUGGCUGGCAGGCUAGAGUAUGGCAGAGGGGGGUAGAAUUCCACGUGUAGCAGUGAAAUGCGUAGAGAUGUGGAGGAAUACCGAUGGCGAAGGCAGCCCCCUGGGCCAAUAUUGACGCUCAUGCACGAAAGCGUGGGGAGCAAACAGGAUUAGAUACCCUGGUAGUCCACGCCCUAAACGAUGUCAACUAGUUGUUGGGGAUUCAUUUCCUUAGUAACGUAGCUAACGCGUGAAGUUGACCGCCUGGGGAGUACGGUCGCAAGAUUAAAACUCAAAGGAAUUGACGGGGACCCGCACAAGCGGUGGAUGAUGUGGAUUAAUUCGAUGCAACGCGAAAAACCUUACCUACCCUUGACAUGGUCGGAAUCCCGCUGAGAGGUGGGAGUGCUCGAAAGAGAACCGGCGCACAGGUGCUGCAUGGCUGUCGUCAGCUCGUGUCGUGAGAUGUUGGGUUAAGUCCCGCAACGAGCGCAACCCUUGUCCUUAGUUGCUACGCAAGAGCACUCUAAGGAGACUGCCGGUGACAAACCGGAGGAAGGUGGGGAUGACGUCAAGUCCUCAUGGCCCUUAUGGGUAGGGCUUCACACGUCAUACAAUGGUCGGAACAGAGGGUUGCCAACCCGCGAGGGGGAGCUAAUCCCAGAAAACCGAUCGUAGUCCGGAUUGCACUCUGCAACUCGAGUGCAUGAAGCAGGAAUCGCUGGUAAUCGCGGAUCAGCA